GCCAUCGUAGUAUAGUGGUCAGUACUUCCGCUUGUGGCUUCCACACCUUCCGGCCCCUCUCCAGGGUUAGUUAGAGGUCAAGCGCGCGGACAACAUUGGUUCGAUUCCAGUCGAUGGCA